UGGGGAAUUUUGGACAAUGGGCGAAAGCCUGAUCCAGCAAUGCCGCGUGUGUGAAGAAGGCCUUCGGGUUGUAAAGCACUUUUGUCCGGAAAGAAAUCCUUGGCUCUAAUACAGUCGGGGGAUGACGGUACCGGAAGAAUAGGCACCGGCUAACUACGUGCCAGCAGCCGCGGUAAUACGUAGGGUGCAAGCGUUAAUCGGAAUUACUGGGCGUAAAGCGUGCGCAGGCGGUUUGCUAAGACCGAUGUGAAAUCCCCGGGCUCAACCUGGGAACUGCAUUGGUGACUGGCAGGCUAGAGUAUGGCAGAGGGGGGUAGAAUUCCACGUGUAGCAGUGAAAUGCGUAGAGAUGUGGAGGAAUACCGAUGGCGAAGGCAGCCCCCUGGGCCAAUACUGACGCUCAUGCACGAAAGCGUGGGGAGCAAACAGGAUUAGAUACCCUGGUAGUCCACGCCCUAAAACGAUGUCAACUAGUUGUUGGGGAUUCAUUUCCUUAGUAACGUAGCUAACGCGUGAAGUUGACCGCCUGGGGAGUACGGUCGCAAGAUUAAAACUCAAAUGAAUUGACGGGGUCAUAGCUGUUUCCU
rnacentral:rRNA from 1 species